CUUCCCGAUCUCACCUCCAGUGAUAGGGAUCGGGGCCUGGAACCAACCCCGUGAACGAGGAAUUCCCGGUAGGCGCGAGUCAUCAGCCCGCGUCGAUCACGUCCCUGCCCU